ACGCUCGACACCUACGGGGAGGCAGCAGGUAGGGAAUCUUCCACAAUGGACGCAAGUCUGAUGGAGCAACGCCGCGUGAGUGAAGAAGGUCUUCGGAUCGUAAAACUCUGUUGUUAGAGAAGAACACGAGUGAGAGUAACUGUUCAUUCGAUGACGGUAUCUAACCAGCAAGUCACGGCUAACUACGUGUCAGCAGCCGCGGUAAUCUGAGCGGGCUGGCAAGGC
rnacentral:rRNA from 1 species